AUAUCCAUAAUAAAGGCUAGAUGUCUUACGGCGGAGUCUCAAACGUCAUCACCGGCGGCCAUCUUGCCUCAGGCAAGCUUUCUGGCGUGCUCUGUGGUACCUAAUGUAAGGAUUUGUUGAGCGACGGGCUCUGAAGAAGCUGUCCUGUGAUGUCUGCCGUGCCAGCUUGGUAACAGAUGCUGCAUCUGCCAUCAAGGACCAGAGCUACCACCUGCUGAAGUUAAAAAACAAUGGAAAUCUGGUGAUUCCAUCAGAAGGCACAGUGAUGUGGUCAGGACAGCAGAGUGGGUCAUUCGUCAGACCUCAUGUACCAGACGAUCACAGCCUAUCAAAGUGCUAGAGGUCGUUGUACGGAAGAGGAUAGGGUCAGAGGAUGUGUUUGUGCUCAGAGAGCACAUCGGAGAAACACAGUAUGGCAUAGACAGCCACCACCAUACGCUGUUAACGUUGGUUGUGUCCUUGUUUUUUAAGUUAAGGCUGCACCACAUUGCCAAAAUAACUAACCUUAGCUUACAGAGCAACAACAUGCAACAGAAGCUCAAUAAAACCGUCCUUUUCAAAGGGCAUUAGCCAA